rnacentral:tRNA from 1 species
GGGGAUGUAGCUCAGUUGGUAGAGUGCUUGCCUCACGUGCACAAGGCCCUGGGUUCAAUCUCCAGUACCACCA